GGUUGACUUGGUGUUUGGGCUCAGCUUAUAUUUGCUCUUUUCUGUGGUGUAACUUUUUUUUUUUUUUCAGGGUUACAGGCUGGUGUAAUAAAAAAAAAGGAGUUGCAUUAACAAUGGCUUUAAUUUUCUGCAUAUGAUACCCAUAACUGAAUACAAAUCUUGGAAGAGGGGGGAAAAACUGCGCUAAACCACAAGAAGCAGCCAGCACUCAAAAUAAAUGGAAAUAUAGGUAAUUGGUGUGGCGCUAGACGUGUCGGAACACAAUGCUUGUAGUGACAUGAUC